rnacentral:rRNA from 1 species
UUGAAAGGGAAACGAUUGAAGUCAGUCGUACCGACGAGAAAUCAGCUUAUCAUGUGUUAACUUGUGGGCGUGCGUGAGUUUCGGCCUCGCUGUUUGCAUGUUUGUGCGCUUUGGGUGUACUUUUUCGUAUGGUUGGCCAACAUCAGUUUCGAUUACUAUAAAAUGACUGGCGGAAUGUAGCUUCGAUUUCGGUUGAAGUGUUAUAGCCUCUGGUAGAUGUGGUAAUUGGGACUGAGGAUUGCAACGAAUAUCCUUUGGGCUAUCCGUCUGGCCUCUGAAAGUUGCUUGGGUGCUGAAAGCUUGCUUAUGGUUAUCUAAGUUAACGGUCAACAGGUUAGAACGUGAUUACAUUCGUUAAGGAUGUUGACGUA